rnacentral:sRNA from 1 species
UCGAAAGCAUCGAUGCGCAUUCGGUCUGC